ACGGCAGCCUGACAAGGCCAAGAUCGAGCCGGAAGAGAAGGCUCGAUCUCCCGCGACAGGCUACCCAGCACGGAUCCCGGGCACCCACGCGGAGCACAUGCCGCUGAACAGGCAAAAGUGUUGCGGGCCUGCGUAUUUGCGAAGAGCGGACGACAUCGACGGUCUCUUGGGUGAGGUUGCAGUCGAAGCGCAUCGACAAGACGCCGAGGCCACCCACGCAACCCACGUGAGCACGCUUGGUAACCCGGUGUCCGUGCUAGCGGGCGGCGCGCCGAAUCACUUCGGAACGUCGCCCGCUUCACGUU
rnacentral:ncRNA from 1 species